rnacentral:ncRNA from 1 species
UUAAGAACGCUGAACAGAAGUAGUAGUUCGUUGGGGCCGUUCAGAGAGUGCCUGGCAGGUGAAAAGGCAUCGGUCGCAGCGAGUGAACUCGUCUGGGAGUUUUUUACUGAAUCGAGUAGGUAAAGACGUUUUGCCACGUUACGGCUUGAGGUGCUGCAGAUUAUCUGCAGAAAUUAGGUGGUACCGCGGUAAAACGUCCUAUAG